UACGUAGGGUGCGAGCGUUAAUCGGAAUUACUGGGCGUAAAGUGUGCGCAGGCGGCCGAGCAAGUCGAGUGUGAAAGCCCCGAGCUUAACUUGGGAACUGCGCUCGAAACUACUUGGCUAGAGUGUGGCAGAGGGAGGUGGAAUUCCACGUGUAGCAGUGAAAUGCGUAGAGAUGCGGCGGAACACCGAUGGCGAAGGCAGCCCCCUGGGCUGAGAUUGA
rnacentral:rRNA from 1 species